rnacentral:rRNA from 1 species
GACGAACGCUGGCGGCGUGCUUAAUACAUGCAAGUCGAGCGGUGAACCCGACUGAAAGCCUUCGGGCUUGACGUUGGGGGAUCAGCGGCGGAUGGGUGAGUAACGCGUGGGUACCUGCCCUAAAGUCUGGGAUAACAACUCGAAAGGGUUGCUAAUACCGGAUGUGACCGAGAGGUUAAAGGCAGAGAUGUCGCUUUAGGAUGGGCCCGCGUCCCAUUAGCUAGUUGGUGAGGUAAGGGCUCACCAAGGCUGCGAUGGGUAGCCGGCCUGAGAGGGCGACCGGCCACACUGGGACUGAGACACGGCCCAGACUCCUACGGGAGGCAGCAGUGGGGAAUAUUGCACAAUGGGCGAAAGCCUGAUGCAGCGACGCCGCGUGAGGGAUGAAGGCCUUCGGGUUGUAAACCGUCUUUCAGCAGGGAAGAAGCGAAAGUGACGGUACCUGCAGAAGAAGCACCGGCUAACUACGUG